ACACUGAACAGUCCUUUGUCCUAUCACAGCAAUUUAACUGAAGAAGCUCCGAAUGUAAACAUUUUCUUUACGAAAUUAACUGUCUUGGCACCGAAUGUGGUAGAUCCAUCCAACUCCCAAGAGUGAGUCAUUAGUGGAUAAUUAUGAUCGAACUGCACUGCUUAACUCCUCAUUUAGUAAAGAAAAUCCGAUUUACAACAUCAACAGGUAAGGCAUAAGCUGGAUCUAUCGGUUUCACUCCUGCAUAUUCAAGAAGUGAAAGUCCUGCAGAAAAU
rnacentral:lncRNA from 1 species